UAGGGAAUAUUAGUAAUGGGCGAAAGCCUGAACUAGCAACACCGCGUGUGCGAAGAAGGCCUUCGGGUUGUAAAGCACUUUUUGGAAGGAAUAGGAAGGAAUGUACUUCCAGAAUAAGUCUCGGCUAACUACGUGCCAGCAGCCGCGGUAACACGUAGGAGGCAAACGUUAUCCGGAUUUACUGGGCGUAAAGCGCGUGUAGGUGGUACUGUAAGUAGGGCGUGAAAGCUCCUGGCUCAACUGGGAGAGGCCGUUCUAAACUACAGAACUAGAGGAUGGUAGAGGGAGGUGGAAUUCCAGGUGUAGCGGUGGAAUGCGCAGAUAUCUGGAGGAACACCGGUGGCGAAGGCGGCCUCCUGGACCAUUCCUGACACUCAGACGCGAAAGCUAGGGUAGCAAACG
rnacentral:rRNA from 1 species